rnacentral:piRNA from 1 species
UGCUCCCAUUCUAAGGGUAAGACUGUGGUGU